rnacentral:rRNA from 1 species
CGUGCUAGGUAUGCAAGUCGAACGGCCCGCAAGGGUAGUGGCGAACGGUCGAGUAACACGUAGACAACCUGCCUCCAGGUGGGGGAUAACAGCGGGAAACCGCUGCUAAUACCGCAUGUGGCAGUAUCCGGCAUCGGGUAACUGCUAAAGGAGCAAUUCGCUUGGGGAUGGGUCUGCGGCCUAUCAGCUAGUUGGCGGGGUAACGGCCCACCAAGGCGACGACGGGUAGCUGGUCUGAGAGGAUGAUCAGCCGGACGGGGACUGAGACACGGCCCCGACUCCUUCGGGAGGCAGCAAUGAGGAAUAUUGCGCAAUGGGCGAAAGCCUGACGCAGCGACGCCGCGUGGGUGAGGAAGUUCUUCGGAAUGUAAAGCCCUUUUGUCAGGGACGAAAAGGACGGUACCUGACGAAUAAGCCCCGGCUAACUACGUGCCAGCAGCCGCGGUAAUACGUAGGGGGCAAGCGUUGUCCGGAUUUACUGGGCGUAAAGCGCGUGUAGGCGGAGAAGCAAGUCCGGCCUGAAAGCCCUCGGCUCAACCGAGGAUCCGGGUUGGAAACUGUUUUUCUUGAGGACGGCAGAGGAGUGUGGAAUUCCUGGUGUAACGGUGAAAUGUGUAGAGAUCAGGAGGAACACCGAUGGCGAAGGCAGUACUCUGG